AGCGGCGGACGGGUGAGUAAUGUCUGGGAAACUGCCCGAUGGAGGGGGAUAACUACUGGAAACGGUAGCUAAUACCGCAUAACGUCUUCGGACCAAAGUGGGGGACCUUCGGGCCUCACACCAUCGGAUGUGCCCAGAUGGGAUUAGCUAGUAGGUGAGGUAAUGGCUCACCUAGGCGACGAUCCCUAGCUGGUCUGAGAGGAUGACCAGCCACACUGGAACUGAGACACGGUCCAGACUCCUACGGGAGGCAGCAGUGGGGAAUAUUGCACAAUGGGCGCAAGCCUGAUGCAGCCAUGCCGCGUGUGUGAAGAAGGCCUUCGGGUUGUAAAGCACUUUCAGCGAGGAGGAAGGGUUCAGUGUUAAUAGCACUGUUCAUUGACGUUACUCGCAGAAGAAGCACCGGCUAACUCCGUGCCAGCAGCCGCGGUAAUACGGAGGGUGCAAGCGUUAAUCGGAAUUACUGGGCGUAAAGCGCACGCAGGCGGUUUGUUAAGUCAGAUGUGAAAUCCCCGAGCUUAACUUGGGAACUGCAUUUGAAACUGGCAAGCUAGAGUCUUGUAGA
rnacentral:rRNA from 1 species